UACGAAGGGGGCUAGCGUUGCUCGGAAUCACUGGGCGUAAAGGGUGCGUAGGCGGCUUUGUAAGUUAGAGGUGAAAGCCCGGGGCUCAACUCCGGAAUUGCCUUUAAGACUGCAUCGCUAGAAUUGUGGAGAGGUAAGUGGAAUUCCGAGUGUAGAGGUGAAAUUCGUAGAUAUUCGGAAGAACAUCAGUGGCGAAGGCGACUUACUGGACACAUAUUGACGCUGAGGUGCGAAAGCGUGGGGAGCAAACAGG
rnacentral:rRNA from 1 species